rnacentral:rRNA from 1 species
CCCUUAGAUGUUCUGGGCUGCACGCGCGCUACACUGAAGCGUUCAACGAGUAUUCACCUUGCCCGGGAGGGUUGGGUAAUCUUUUGAAAACGCUUCGUGAUGGGGAUAGAUUAUUGCAAUUAUUAAUCUUCAACGAGGAAUUCCUAGUAAGCGCGAGUCAUCAGCUCGUGCUGGUUACGUCCCUGCCCUUUGUACACACCGCCCGUCGCUCCUACCGAUUGAGUGUGUUGGUGAGGAGUUUGGAUUGGCCUCGGAAGGUGGUUCGCCACCGUCCGUAGCUGAGAAGUUCUCCAAACCGCCCCACUUAGAGGAAGGAGAAGUCGUAACA